UCCUACGGGAGGCAGCAGUGGGGAAUAUUGCACAAUGGGCGCAAGCCUGAUGCAGCCAUGCCGCGUGUAUGAAGAAGGCCUUCGGGUUGUAAAGUACUUUCAGCGAGGAGGAAGGUGUUGUGGUUAAUAACCGCAGCAAUUGACGUUACUCGCAGAAGAAGCACCGGCUAACUACGUGCCAGCAGCCGGGUA
rnacentral:rRNA from 1 species